AUUUGCAAGUCAUGAACAUGUUUGUACUGAGCCAAAAGAAGUGCUUAUGGCCUUGGUGGGCUACACGUUGCACAUACCAUCUUGAUUACCAUCUUAUUUAAUUUCUUUAUUUUGAUUUCCAUGUGACCUCAGUAGCCAAAAUCCAACAAGCCACUGCAGCUGAAGAUAUUUGGGAGAACUCUGCUUAAGCUAUGGUGGGAAGAAAGAGCAGGAAGUUAGGUGCCGUGGAAGCGUCCUCCAUUAUACCUCUUCAUGACAGCUGCUGCAGGGAACCAACCUGGUGAUGUAUAAAGCACUGGGCUGGGACUUGAGAGAGAUGGAUUCAGUCCUUGACACCUACAGACUUCCUUGGACGAGUCAAUUCAUCUUUGAGUUUUUGUUCCUUUAUUUUUGAGUCAUAGCACUUGCUUACCUUUUAUAGUGAUGUGAGAGUAAUGUGAUUACUGAGGACUCCAGUACCACGGGGGGGUGCAUAUAAAAACCCAGAUGAUGAUGAUUUCUGUCCUUUGUCUCCAUCAGAAUAAAGUCUUCCUCUUUCCUGUGCUCUGAUACUGCCACUGUUUUAAAAAAAUUGCAUCACGAUUUUAAAGAUGCCAGAAUAUGUCUUGUUAGUGUCAAAAAUUAGCACCCAGAUCUCAGGACAGGAAAAAAAAGAGAUGUGGUCUCUUAAGAGUGGGUGAAUUGCAGUGUUCAUUCAGCGACUUUUUACAGCUCUGUCAGCAGAUUGAUGCUAGCUUUUAUCAUAUCCUUCAAGGAACAUCAAAUAUGUACAGUUCUCGGUGGCUGUUUUUAUCUGAUGCUGGUGUUUGAGGGUGGAGGAGAGCGCUUGUAUGCUCUCUGCAGUAAAAUGUUACAUAUUUCUGACAGGCUUUGGUGGUAUGGACUUAAUAGAUCAUCAGCACUCCCUCAGCCUCAGAUUUUUUUCCACGGGACUGUUUGCUUGUGACACGGAUCAUUUCCAAGCUCCUGGGCAGUGGUAAGAGAAGCCCUGUGUGAUUGCAAGACCCCCACCUAGAGACUAUAGCAAAAAAUAGCAUGCACAAAAGGGAGGAGGCAAGAGAAAGCAGCACGUUCUGUAGAUGCUGUGUUGCCCAUUGCAGCACUGACGGACAAAAAUAAGCCUGCCUGUAACUCACUGGGAUUCUAAUUACCAUUUUUAAGAAAAGGCUAGUACCCAUUUUAUUUGGCAACAAGCGUGUUAACACAGAUGAAAAUACACAAACGAAUCAGUGUACUGCGGAAGAUGAAAUGCUUCCCCUGUCAAUUCUCAAACACUAUUAAAUCCACUCAGUCCAACACCAGUGCCUUGAUGUCUGCCUCUUUCUUUGACCAAGGUAUGGGAAUACAGUAUUC